UUCCGCCCUCCAUCCGCCUGCGCGGCAGAGACAGAGAUGGCUGCCGCACUGCAGCGGGUCGAACGGCUGUCCAGUCGGGUGGUUCGCGUCCUGGGCUGUAACCCGGGUCCCAUGACCCUGCAGGGCACCAACACCUACCUGGUGGGGACUGGCUCCAGGAGAAUCCUCAUUGACACUGGAGAACCAGCAAUUCCAGAAUAUAUCAGCUGCUUAAAGCAGGCUCUAACUGAAUUUAACACAGCAAUCCAGGAAAUCAUAGUGACCCACUGGCACCGUGAUCACACUGGAGGCAUAACUGAUAUUUGUAAAAGCAUCAAUAAUGGUCUUUCUCUGAACUCUUCCCAAUCCUCCUCACCCUACACUGAAUAUUGCAUUAAAAAACUCCCACGGAAUCCCAGGAGAGAGGAAAUUAUAGGAGAUGGAGAGCAGCAGUACAUUUAUGUGAAAGAUGGAGAUGUGAUUAAGACUGAGGGCGCCACUCUAAGAGUUAUACAUACACCUGGCCACACUGAUGAUCAUAUGGCUCUACUGUUAAAAGAGGAAAAUGCGCUCUUUUCUGGCGAUUGCAUCCUAGGAGAAGGAACAACGGUAUUUGAAGACCUCUAUGAUUAUAUGAACUCCCUAAAAGAGUUAUUAAAAGUCAAAGCUGCUGUUAUAUAUCCAGGACAUGGCCCAGUAAUCCAAGAUGCCGAAGCUAAAAUUCUACAAUACAUUUCUCACAGAAAUAUCCGAGAACAGCAAAUUCUUACAGUAUUUCAUGAGAACUUUGAAAAAUCAUUCACAGCAAUGGACCUUGUAAAAAUUAUUUACAAGAAUACUCCUGAGUAUUUACAUCAAAUGGCCCAACAUAAUGUCUUGCUUCAUUUGAAAAAAUUAGAAAAAGAAGGAAAAAUAUUUAGCAACAUGGAUCCUGACAAGAAAUGGAAAGCUCAUCUUUAGUUUCAGAUGAAUGAAAGUUUCUAUUGUUUUGUUUUCAGAGGAUGUUCCAGUCACAUCGAUGCCUGACCUUUUGAAAAACAUCUGGAAUUAAAAUGGAGAAUGGGGGAGGGGCAUGUAGCUAAUCCAUUUGAGUGGCCACCAUGCUGAACAAUUUCCAAAUGUAUGGAUGAGCUUGAAUCUUUCACUAAAGCCCCAGGUCUAAGUCUUUUGCCACCUGCAGGAACUCUUCACGAGGCUGUCUCCCAAAGUGCAGGCAUCAAUGUGAAGAAACUCAAUAUAGCUAAAACUCAACACCUCUGCUUACCCCAAAUCCUCAUCUUCCUGAUUCCUCCCCUUCCCAGCUCACCAUCUAGGUAAACAGCAUCGCUAUUCUCCCACGUCCCAAGCUGAAUUUGUCCUCGGUCACUCCUAUUUCGUUUAAUCCCCAAUCCACUUAGCAGGGCAAUAUUUAUGCUAAAGUUUGAGGAUGGAGAUGCAAUUUGAAGGCCAAAGAAAAUGCUGGUGGGCACAGGAGAUGACCAGGACUGACAAAGAGCCUAGGAAAUGAAAGUGGCUCGAUUCAUAGGGACGAAAUCUAUCAUUUGUCUUACACUGUCUCAGGGAUCUCUCUCUCUUUUCUUCCCUGGCCUAGUGCUCAUUUCCUAAAUUAAAAUAAACUACUAAUUGAUUUCCCUGCAUGUGGCCUAUUCCUAUUCCCAUUCAUCAUCGUGGUGACAGUGGUGGUAGUAACAGUUUAGUAAUAUAUUUGUCCAAUCAAUCCCUCAUCUAUAGAAAAAGAAUGAUAUACUGCCUAACUCGAGGAGUCAUUGUGAGUAUUAAAUGUUCAUCAUAUUUAGCACAGUGCUUGGCACCCAAUAAAUACCAGUUGCUAUUA